rnacentral:rRNA from 1 species
UACAGAGGUGGCAAGCGUUGUUCGGAAUUACUGGGCGUAAAGGGCGCGUAGGCGGUCACGUAAGUCCCGUGUGAAAUCCCUCGGCUUAACUGAGGAACUGCACGGGAUACUGUGUGACUUGAGUUCGGGAGAGGGAAGCGGAAUUCCGGGUGUAGCGGUGAAAUGCGUAGAUAUCCGGAGGAACACCGGUGGCGAAGGCGGCUUCCUGGACCGACACUGACGCUGAGGCGCGAAAGCUAGGGGAGCAAAC